UUCUUAAUGAUAAAAAAUUUUUAUGUUGUUGCAACUGGCUUUCGAUCAAAUAUUUUGCUACUCAUUUUUUGGUCUACUACGCCCUCAGAUUGUCGGCUAAUCUAGUUAUCAGGUUUGAUUUUAG